ensembl:lncRNA
CCCCACCAGGGCAGCUGCAGGUGAUGGGCUGGCAGCCCAGUGCGGGCUGUGCGAGGGGCAGGGGUAGGGCAGCCCUGGGGCUGUGGGGGGCUGAAAGCGUUGGAUAGUGAGACAGUUCUUGGGUUGAUAGUGGACAGCAAAAGAAUUGACAGGGAGAGAGUUGGUGGAUAGUAAGAAACCUAGUGUAUAGCAAGACAGUUGAUAGCAAGAAAAAUAGUUGGUAGUGAGAUAGUGGAAAGACAGUGCAUAGCAAGACAGGUAAUUGAUAGAUGGUGUGUAGAUCGAAGAUACUUAGUGGAAAGCAAAAGAGUUGCUAGUGAGAUAGAUAGUUAUAUCAUACUGGGAUAUUUGAUUGGGAAAUAGGGGACAGAGACAUUGUGAGAUAGCUGAUAGACAGAGUUGAUAGCGAUACUGAAAGUUGAUAACAGGAAUUUCUUUGGUCUCUGCUGCAGAUGAGCCACGGAGUCCUGGGACACCACUCUCCCCUCCAGCAUGUGAUGAGGACCAACGCCUGAUGCUGCUCCAGCGCCGGCAGAAGAACAGCAGCUCUGGGAACACCCGUCCUGCCAGCACAGCAUCACAGGGAAGAGGACGCACCUUCUGCUCAGAGCGAGGGCACAUCUCGGGUGGAAACACCGGCGGGGCUCUGACAGUCUCUGAAUGCUUUGCCCUGAAUUGGAGGUUGAAACCAAAUCACAGAUGUUUUUCUAUACAGUUACUCUUCUCCUGUAAGCCGAGCUUUGACAGAGUUGAUGUCCAAAACAGCCGAGGAAGAACUGGACUGAAGAGGAGAGCGCCAGCUGACAGCGCCCGUCUGGUGUGAUGUGCCCAGAGAGAGACUCGUCCAGCAAGAGAUAGAGUAGAUAGGGAGCAUAGGGACCCAGUUAGCUCUAAAAUGUCUUAGUAGUGCAGUUGUAAGAAAGCUCUGUAAAUAAAUUGUAUGCCAUUGUUUUCAUAUCCUUACACUGUGUCCAAAACUGUGUUUGUUCGUAGUCCGAUAUGCCUAGAAAUAAAUGACAGAACAAUAAAUCUUUUCCUCUGAUCUUCUGUGGCGGUGGUGGUUUUGUUUGUUUCGUGGUGGAAUCCUAAAAUGAUUUUAUAGUUCCUCUCACAGAGGAAGCAGCAGCAGCAGCUGCUCUAACAUCGGGUUAGCAGUUUUUUAUACCAAGCAAGCUCUAGAUUCUUAGCCACAGGGAGCAGAAGGCAGGAUAACGCCUGCA